UUGUAACACGUGUUACAAUGCUCGCCUAGCUGUUAGCAUAGCACGCCCUCACACUCUGCAACUGACUAGCUAGCAGUACUUACUGCGAAUGUGCGACUCCCAACAAAGACGGUACAGAAAUGAGAUGUUUCACUCUGUAGC